AUUGAACGCUGGCGGCAUGCUUUACACAUGCAAGUCGAACGGUAACAGGCCGCAAGGUGCUGACGAGUGGCGAACGGGUGAGUAAUGCAUCGGAACGUGCCCAGUCGUGGGGGAUAACGCAGCGAAAGCUGUGCUAAUACCGCAUACGAUCUAUGGAUGAAAGCGGGGGACCGUAAGGCCUCGCGCGAUUGGAGCGGCCGAUGUCAGAUUAGGUAGUUGGUGGGGUAAAGGCCUACCAAGCCAACGAUCUGUAGCUGGUCUGAGAGGACGACCAGCCACACUGGGACUGAGACACGGCCCAGACUCCUACGGGAGGCAGCAGUGGGGAAUUUUGGACAAUGGGCGCAAGCCUGAUCCAGCAAUGCCGCGUGCAGGAAGAAGGCCUUCGGGUUGUAAACUGCUUUUGUACGGAACGAAAAGGCUCUGGUUAAUACCUGGGGCUCAUGACGGUACCGUAAGAAUAAGCACCGGCUAACUACGUGCCAGCCGCCGCAGUAAUAC
rnacentral:rRNA from 1 species